rnacentral:rRNA from 1 species
GAGUUUGAUCAUGGCUCAGGAUGAACGCUGGCGGCGUGCUUAACACAUGCAAGUCGAACGAAGCACUACCGACGGAACUUUUCGGAGGGAAGAUGGUAAUGACUGAGUGGCGGACGGGUGAGUAACGCGUGGGCAACCUGCCCCAUAGAGGGGGACAACAGCUGGAAACGGCUGCUAAUACCGCAUAAGAGGAAGAGAGCGCAUGUUCUUUUCUUGAAAGAUUUAUCGCUAUGGGAUGGACCCGCGUCUGAUUAGCUGGUUGGUGGGGUAACGGCCCACCAAGGCGACGAUCAGUAGCCGGCUUGAGAGAGUGAACGGCCACAUUGGGACUGAGACACGGCCCAGACUCCUACGGGAGGCAGCAGUGGGGAAUAUUGCACAAUGGGGGAAACCCUGAUGCAGCGACGCCGCGUGAGUGAAGAAGUAUUUCGGUAUGUAAAGCUCUAUCAGCAGGGAAGAUAAUGACGGUACCUGACUAAGAAGCCCCGGCUAACUACGUGCCAGCAGCCGCGGUAAUACGUAGGGGGCAAGCGUUAUCCGGAUUUAC